GGUGGUGUAUCUUAGUGGUAAAGUGCUUGCCUACCAUGCAUGAGGCUCUGGAUUCAAUCUCUAGAAUCAACC
rnacentral:tRNA from 1 species